rnacentral:sRNA from 1 species
GCUGUGACGUGGGUGGUUCGCCGCCUGCGAUGCUGCGAGAAGUCCAUUGAACCUUAUCAUUUAGAGGAAGGAGAAGUCGUAACAAGGUUUCCGUAGGUGAACCUGCGGAAGGAUCAUUGUCGAGACCCAAAAGAGAUCGAGCGAUUUGACAACCCGUGAAUUACUUCYGGCAGCUCACCUUUGUUGCUGCACACCCAUCCAACUGUUGCAUGAGGUACCCUAUGGGACCAUGUUGAAGGCGGAGGGGAGAUCAAUUGGGCGCAGCGUUGUGCCAAGGAAAUUUUGUAGGCAGCAUGAGGGGCUUGAUCCACAUAUCCUCAAAGCAUGCAAUGUUUUGUGGAGUUGUCGACUGCUCCUCGAUAAUUGUAAGACUCUCGGCAAUGGAUAUCUUGGCUCUCGCAUCGAUGAAGAGCGCAGCGAAAUGCGAUACGUGGUGCGAAUUGCAGAAUCCCGUGAACCAUCGAGUUUUUGAACGCAAGUUGCGCCCGAGGCCAGCNGGCCAAGGGCACGUCCGCCUGGGCGUCAAGCAUUGAAUCGCUCCGCUAGACACCACACCUUCCAUCCAAUGCGAUGGUGGUGUCUCGGAUGCGGAGAGUGGCCCGUCAUGCGCGGAUGUGUGGCGGGUUGAAGACCGGGGAUGAUUUUUCUCUUGGCGAUGACCGAUUAAUGGGUGGAAAUGAAGCUCCGGUUGUCCUCCUCGUCGUCAGGCUGCUUUGAGAAAGUUGUACAUAUCCCAGGCUAACCCAACUCAAAUGUCGGAAGCAAAUUGAAAUGCGACCCCAGGAUGGGCGGGGUGACCCGCUGAGUUUAAG